rnacentral:rRNA from 1 species
GAUGAACGCUGGCGGCGGGCCUAAUACAUGCAAGUCGAGCGAACAGAUCAGGAGCUUGCUCCUUUGACGGUAUCGACGGACGGGUGAGUAACACGUGGAUAACCAACCUAUAAGACUGUGAUAACUUAGGGAAACCGGAGCUAAUACAGGAUAACAUAUUGCACCGCCUGGUUCAAAAGGGAAAGGAGACUUUGCUGUCACUUAUAGAGGGAUCUGCGCCGUAUUAGGUAGUUGGUAAGGUAAGGGCUUACCAAGGCAACGAUAAGUAGGCGACGUGAGAGGGUGAUCGGGCACCCUGGAACUGAGACACGGACCAGACUCCUACGGGAGGGAGCAGUAGGGGAUCUUCCGCAAUGGGCGAAAGCCUGACGGAGAAACGCCGCGUGAGCGAUGAAGGUCUUCGGAUCGUAAAACUCUGUUAGCAGGGAAGAACAAAUGUGGAAGUAACUGUGCACAUCUUGACGGUAACUGAUCAGAAAGCCACGGCUAACUACGUG